GCUGGGAGCCGCGGCUGACUCCUGUAAUCCAGCCUAUUGGAAGCAAAGUGCAGUGGAUUUCCCGUGACCUGUACUAAA
rnacentral:SRP_RNA from 1 species